rnacentral:rRNA from 1 species
AUUGAACGCUGGCGGCAGGCCUAACACAUGCAAGUCGAACGAGUGGCGGACGGGUGAGUAAUGUCUGGGAAACUGCCUGAUGGAGGGGGAUAACUACUGGAAACGGUAGCUAAUACCGCAUACCAUCAGAUGUGCCCAGAUGGGAUUAGCUUGGUGGUGGGGUAACGGCUAACAAAGGCGACGAUCCCUAGCUGGUCUGAGAGGAUGACCAGCCACACUGGAGCUGAGACACGGGCCAGACUCCUACGCGAGGCAGCAGUGGGGGAUAUUGCACAAUGGGCGCAAGCCUGAUGAAGCAAUGCCGCGUGUAUGAAGGAGGCCUUCGGGUUGUAAAGGACUAAAAGCGGAGAGGCGUUAGCCGAAGAAGAAGCACCGGAUAACUCCGUGCCAGCAGCCGCGGUAAUAC